UCCUGACUGCAUGCACACGCUGUAAAUGAC
rnacentral:piRNA from 1 species